UACAGAGGGUGCAAGCGUUAAUCGGAUUUACUGGGCGUAAAGCGUGUGUAGGUGGCUCGCUAAGUCGGUUGUGAAAUCCCUGGGCUCAACCUGGGAAUUGCAGUCGAUACUGAUGAGCUCGAGUUCGGUAGAGGGUGACGGAAUUCCCGGUGUAGCGGUGAAAUGCGUAGAUAUCAGGAGGAACACCAAUAGCGAAGGCAGCUCGCUGGGACGUUACUGACACUGAGGCGCGAAAGCGUGGGGAGCGAACAGG
rnacentral:rRNA from 1 species